CGCAUCUGUGCAUGCAGCAUAUCAAUAAGCGGAGGAAAAGAAACUAACAAGGAUUCCCUCAGUAACGGCGAGUGAAGCGGGAAGAGCUCAAAUUUGAAAUCUUGAAAGGUCACCUUUCACGAAUUGUAGUUUAAAGAAGUGUUUUCUGUUACGAUCGUAAUAUAAGUUCUUUGGAAUAGGACAUCACAGAGGGUGAGAAUCCCGUCUAUGAUUGCGAUUUGUAGCUUUGUGAUACACUUUCAAAGAGUCGGGUUGUUUGGGAAUGCAGCCCAAAACGGGAGGUAAAUUUCUUCUAAGGCUAAAUAUUGGCGAGAGACCGAUAGCGAACAAGUACCGUGAGGGAAAGAUGAAAAGAACUUUGAAAAGAGAGUUAAACAGUACGUGAAAUUGUCAAAAGGGAAGCGUUUAACACCAGUGUUGUUUUCUGAAAAUCAACCUCUGUUAGCUUUAUGCAUGUUUGUUUAGACCUAAUCAGCUAUCUUGCAUGUUCUAUUGUUUGCAGUGGUGCACUUUUCAGUUUACAGGUCAACAUCAGUUUUUUUUACCGUAAAAAAGUUAAAGAAAGGUAGCUCAUGGCUCCGGUCGUGAGUGUUAUAGUCUUUUUCCUAUGCGGUAGGAGAGACUGAGGUCUGCAGUGUAGGCUAUUUGGCUAGAUACUCAGGUGCUAUGUGAGUACCAUUUCAUAAACAACUUGUUGAUUAUGUUUUGUCUAUUGCAUACUCGCUUGUACUAUCAUACCUACGCUUAGGAUGUUGAAGUCAUCGUAUCGCGC
rnacentral:rRNA from 1 species